GCCUGUAAUCUCAGCUACUCAGGAAGGUGAGACACAAGAAUGGCUUGAAUCCAGGAGGCAGAGGUUGCAGUGAGCUGAGAUAGGGCCCCUGCACUCCAGCCUGGGCAAUAAAGUGAGACUUUGUCUAAAAAAAAAAGAAAGAAAGAAAAAAGAAAAAGAAGAAUCUACCCAGUUGUUUUCCAAAGUGGUUGUAUCAUUUUACAUUCCCAUCUGUGUACAAGAGUUUGGAAUUCCUCACACCCUCCACUAACUUGAAAUUGGAAGCUGGGCACAGUGGCCCACACCUGCAAUCCCAGCACUUUGGGAGGCCAAGAAUGGAGGAUUGUUUGAGCCCGAGUUUCCAAUACCAGCCUGGGCAACAUAGCAAGGCCCCCACUCUACUAAAUAAAUGAUAAAUUAGAGAUGGUGUUUGCCAGCCUAAUGAAGAUUAAAUCAACUCCAGCCUGGGAAUAUGAUCUAUGCACAAAGAAAUAAUUGGAUCCUCCUGUCUAGAAGACUGACCAAAGAAAGAAGCAACAAGAUAGUCUAAAACUCAGAAAGAAUCUGAAAAUGAGAAAUCUUGCAACACUGAAGGUCAUGAAGCCCAAACCUUCAUCUCACACAAGUGAAAACUGAGGCCCAAAGCGAUAAAAAUGACUUGCUCAAAUACACGGCAACAGAAUGACAGAGCCAGAACAGGAAGCCUUGGGUCAAGAACUCUAUCAACAGCUGACCUGUUGUUAGAGCCAGAGGGCCCUGCCCCUUUCAUGGAGAACAACUCCUGAACUCUAUACAUGUUCUUCCAGGAUUCCUAUUUGUAUUUGAAAAAAGAAAAAAGGCUAAUAAAGUUAUUUAUUGCCUAUCUUUUGGGGCCUUUUAAAUAGAUGUCAAUGGGACGGCAAGAUAAUUUAAAUAUUUAAAAGAUUUUUGAAAUUCCUGAUCAACUUCUUGUCAGAUGGCACAAAUGCAAAAGCCUAUUUUUCACAAGACCCAGUCUCUUGUAUCAUCAAUCUAACCAAAGACAACUGCCAAACUAAUCUUCCUAAAACACUUUUAAUCAUGUCACUCUCUUACGCACAAACAUCUGGUAGCUCCCCUUUGCCUACCAAAUUAAAAUCCUCACACUGGCAUUCAACGCCCUUCACAAUAUGUCCCAAUCAAUCUUUCCUUCCUGGUACUUAUUACCUGUUCCCCAGCUCAACUGCAGCCACGUGAUGGUCACAAACCUUGUUCUUUCCCAUCUCAAUGCUUCUCUUUGCCCAUGCUAUUCUCUCUUGUUGGUACACAUUCUCUCCUUCCAUAGUGACCUGUCAAAAAGUCUAUAUUAUUCAAGGCUAUCUUAACUCUCAUUAUUUUCUGAUUGUUCACUUUAACCUCAUCCAAAACACAUUCACAAUUAGAUAUUACUCCUCCUCCCUUUUAACUCUCCAACAAUCUGUUUUUUUUUUUCACAAAAAUAAUCACAUUUCCCCAUUUUUACACUAUGUAUGCACCUGUCCUAACUUCUUUUCCAAUCAGACUGAACUCCUUGACACAGUCAGUGGGUCCCACUGCUAUAAGCAUCCAACUAGUAUUGUUGACUUGCAUGCCAAAGGGCUUUAUGGACAGAAUACAUGAGAAUGACUUAACCUUCACCGAGGUUUAUGUAGAGGCCAUUUUAGAGGCAGAAUGGGUCUAAAUACUAUAUGUUGCUGUCGAAUGAUUAUGAAAAAAAACACGGUGCUGGCUCUUUGUGGUUUCAUAGCCUAGUUCUUCAUUCAGCUGAAGUUCCCUGGGACUCAACACUCCCUUGAGGGUAUAGAAUGCAUUUAGAAGCUCUGUUAACGAUUUCUGAAGAAUUUAUUUGCUAAAUGAUCUGGAAGGCUAUGUGCAGCUUCCCCAAGGCCUACAUUUGUUAUUGAGCAGGAAGUAUGGCAACUUGUGUUUAGUAAUUGGGUCAGUUAGUAAUUUUGUUCUUUCGG
rnacentral:lncRNA from 1 species